UACAGAGGUCUCAAGCGUUGUUCGGCGUCCUUGUUCUUCCCUUUUUCUUAGGCGGCGCGGUAAGUCGGGUGUGAAAUCUCGGGGCUUAACUCCGAAACUGCAUUCGAUACUGCCGUGCUUGAGGACUGGAGAGGAGACUGGAAUUUACGGUGUAGCGGUGAAAUGCGUAGAUAUCGUAAGGAACACCUGUGGCGAAAGCGGCUCACUGGACCAUAACUGACGCUGAGGCGCGAAAGCUAGGGGAGCAAACAGG
rnacentral:rRNA from 1 species